GCAUCUGUAGAUCAGUGGAUAGAGCGACCGCCUCCUAAGCGGUAGGCCGUGGGUUCGAUCCCCGCCAGGUGCA
rnacentral:tRNA from 1 species